GACGAACGCUGGCGGCGUGCCUAAUACAUGCAAGUAGAACGCUGAAGGAGGAGCUUGCUUCUCUGGAUGAGUUGCGAACGGGUGAGUAACGCGUAGGUAACCUGCCUGGUAGCGGGGGAUAACUAUUGGAAACGAUAGCUAAUACCGCAUAAUAGUAGAUGUCGCAUGACAUUUGCUUAAAAGGUGCAAUUGCAUCACUACCAGAUGGACCUGCGUUGUAUUAGCUAGUUGGUGAGGUAACGGCUCACCAAGGCAACGAUACAUAGCCGACCUGAGAGGGUGAUCGGCCACACUGGGACUGAGACACGGCCCAGACUCCUACGGGAGGCAGCAGUAGGGAAUCUUCGGCAAUGGACGGAAGUCUGACCGAGCAACGCCGCGUGAGUGAAGAAGGGUUUCGGAUCGUAAAGCUCUGUUGUAAGAGAAGAACGAGUGUGAGAGUGGAAAGUUCACACUGUGACGGUAUCUGACCAGAAAGGGACGGCUAACUACGUG
rnacentral:rRNA from 1 species